ACGUGAAUCACCAGGGGAUCUUGUUAAAUGCAGAUCUGAUUCAGUCAUUCUGGGUGGGGCCUGAGAGUCUGCACUUCUAACCAGCUCCCAGGUGAUGCUGAU
rnacentral:pre_miRNA from 2 species